UACGGAGGGUGCAAGCGUUAUCCGGAUUCACUGGGUUUAAAGGGUGCGUAGGCGGACAGGUAAGUCAGUGGUGAAAUCUCUGGGCUUAACCCAGAAACUGCCGUUGAUACUAUUUGUCUUGAAUAUCCUGGAGGUAGGCGGAAUAUGUCAUGUAGCGGUGAAAUGCUUAGAUAUGACAUAGAACACCAAUUGCGAAGGCAGCUUACUACACAAAUAUUGACGCUGAGGCACGAAAGCGUGGGGAUCAAACAGG
rnacentral:rRNA from 1 species